ensembl:snRNA U6 U6 spliceosomal RNA
GUGCUGGCUUUGGCAGCACAGAUACUAAAAUUGGAAUAAUAUAGAGAAGAUUAGCACGGCCCCUGCACAAGGGUGACACAAAAAUUCAUGAAGCAGUCUGUAUUUUU